rfam:Myotis brandtii contig158196, whole genome shotgun sequence.
CAUGCACUGGUGGGAUCCCUCAGCCUGGCCUGUGCCCUCUCGCAAUCUGGGACUCCUCAGGGGAUGUCCGCAGGCCAAGCUGAGGGACCCCACCAGUGCACG